rnacentral:antisense_RNA from 1 species
CUUGACCGACCCCAACAGCAACGGCUCGAUCCGGUCCUGCCCAUAGGUCGCCAACAGCGCCAGCGCUUC